GCUCAGGAUGAACGCUGGCGGCGUGCCUAAUACAUGCAAGUCGAACGAGGUGCUUUUGUAGCAAUACGAGAGUAUCCUAGUGGCGAACGGGUGAGUAACGCGUUGGUGACCUGCCCCAAAGUGCGGGAUAACAGUCCGAAAGGACUGCUAAUACCGCAUGUGGUUCUUGGAUUUAGAAACCGAGCUCUAAAGGAGCAAUCCGCUUUGGGAGGGACCUGCGUCCCAUCAGCUAGUUGGUGAGGUAAUGGCCCACCAAGGCUACGACGGGUAGGGGACCUGAGAGGGUGACCCCCCACAAUGGAACUGAAACACGGUCCAUACACCUACGGGUGGCAGCAGUAGGGAAUAUUGGGCAAUGGGCGAAAGCCUGACCCAGCAACGCCGCGUGUGUGAUGAAGGCCUUCGGGUCGUAAAGCACUUUUCUGGGAGAUGAGAAAGGACAGUAUCCCAGGAAUAAGUCUCGGCUAACUACGUGCCAGCAGCCGCGGUAAAACGUAGGAGGCGAGCGUUAUCCGGAUUCACUGGGCGUAAAGCGCGUGCAGGUGGCGCGGUAAGUUGGGCGUGAAAUCUCCCGGCUCAACUGGGAGAGGUCGUCCAAUACUACCGUGCUUGAGAGCAGAAGAGGAAGAUGGAAUUCCCGGUGUAGUGGUGAAAUGCGUAGAUAUCGGGAGGAACACCAGUGGCGAAGGCGAUCUUCUGGUCUGUUUCUGACACUCAGACGCGACAGCUAGGGUAGUAAACGGGAUUAGAGACCCCGGUAAUCCUAGCCGUAAACGAUGUGAACUUGGCGUUGGUGGGUUAAACUCCAUCAGUGCCGUAGCAAACGCGAUAAGUUCACCGCCUGGGGACUACG
rnacentral:rRNA from 1 species